rnacentral:lncRNA from 1 species
UUCCAUGGAAGGUACUGGAAUCAGAGGUUCCUGUCACUCAUCUCUUUUUUAAAUGCCCCUUGGCAAUUAUUACUUUACCUGACCGUUUGAUUUUUUCUCCUCUUUUUUUUCGGUUUAGGCAUUUUUUUUAUUUUUUAUUUUUUUAUUUUUUUUUAUUUUUUAUUUUUUUUUAUUUUUUUUUUUGCAGGAUCAAUCUUGAUUCCUCUGAUUUAC